rnacentral:rRNA from 1 species
CCUACGGGUGGCUGCAGUGGGGGAUAUUGCACAAUGGGGGAAACCCUGAUGCAGCGACGCCGCGUGUGGGAAGACGGUCCUCUGGAUUGUAAACCACUGUCCCCAGGGACGAAGGUGACGGUACCUGGGGAGGAAGCUCCGGCUAACUACGUGCCAGCAGCCUCGGUAAUACGUAGGUAGCGAGCGUUGUCCGGUUUUACUGGGUGUAAAGGGAGCGUAGGCGGGACUGCAAGUUGGGUGUAAAAUCUACCGGCUCAACCGGUAUCAGCCCGCAACACUGCAGUUCUUGAGUGAAGUAGAGGCAGGCGGAAUUCCUAGUGUAGCGGUGCAAUGCGUAGAUAUUAGGAGGAACACCAGUGGCGAAGGCGGCCUGCUGGGCUUUUACUGACGCUGAGGCUCGAAAGUGUGGGGAGCAAACAGGAUUAGAUACCCGAGUAGUC